UCCGGAUAUUGCCGAAUAUUUACGGAAUAAACCGAAUACUUGCCGUCGAUAAUUUUGGACGCUGACAUUUGUUUACAAAUUUUGGAAUUAUUAAUUAGGAUAAAAACUGACUUUUAAGAAUGUCUAGUGCAAACUUAGAGCACAGAGAGGUUUCGGCUCCCAGAGUCAGUAAAUUCAACGUUUAUAUUCAGGGGGACCUCAAGCAUUGUCAUUUUACGAUCCUCACAGUACAUGACCUGGGAUGCAAUCACAACAGUUGGAGGAACUUCUUGGAACAUGAGUCUAUGAAGCACAUAACGAACAGAGCUGCAUUUAUACAUGUAGAUGUUCCAGGACAGGAAGAUGGAGCUCCAGACCUCCCCCCAGAAGAAGAGAGUACUAGUGCCAUUAGUAACAUUGGCAGGAGGUUGAGUAUGGGAACAGAAAGAAAAGGCAGUUUCCGCGAACAAACUGAGGAAUGUUACACGUUUCCGAGUAUGCAGAGUCUUGGUGAAGAUCUUGUAUGUGUUUUAGAUCAGUUAGAUGUGAAGAAUGUUGUAGGUCUGGGAGAAGGAGCUGGUGCAAACAUUAUUGCAAGGUUUGCUAUGUCCCAUCCUAAGAGAGUGUUGGGUAUUUGUUUGGUACACUGCACAGGAACUACUGCAGGAUUCAUGGAAUCUCUCAAGGAUAAGGUGAUUGGCUGGAAGUUGGACCAUAUAGGUAUGAACCCAACUGCAGAGGCCUACCUUGUGCUUCACAGAUUUGGAUCUAAACAUUUGAAAGAUAGCAAUAAACGGUUUGAAAAGGCUGAGAACAAAGAGGAAUUGAACAAGGUGUUAACAACAUUCCAGGAUGGACUACGCUCUAAGCUCAAUCCUCACAACCUCAACAGAUAUGUCCAGUCUUUUAUGAAGCGUACAUGCAUUACCGACACAAUUCAGAAAAUAACAUGCCCAGUGUUGAUGGUAACAGGAGAUAAAGCUUCAUUCAAUCAUACUGUUCAUCAUUUGUAUGGUUACAUGUCACAGAAACUUGACAAAGCAAAGAUUGAGUUACUCGAAGUGGAAGGGGUGGCUAAUGUGUUGGAAGAGAAGCCUCAGAAGUUGGCAGAGAGCUUCUUGUACUUCUGUCAGGGUAUUGGUGUAGUGGGUGGAGUACCUAUGCCAAGAGUGGAAAGAACUUCUUCAGUUGACAGCGAUUCAGCUAGAGCAGCACUUCGUAAUCGCAGCAUGUCCAUGGAAGAGGCAGAUUUACCUAAAGGAACCUACUCUACCAGUCCUACCAGGUUCGGUAGUCCAUUAGCUUCCAGCCCAGCUAAAUCAGGGAACCCUCUUUCAAGCAGCCCGUAAAGGGGGGCGUCGCUGUUAACCUAGAUUUUGUUUGUAUGUAAGGUGCAGGGCCACUCGUUCAGUCAAUGUUUACAUAAGUGUUUAUGUUUAAAUGAAGCCAGAAAUACAACUGCACCCAAAUGUUUUGGAUAAGCCGAAUGUUUCCAUUGCAUAACUGUACAUGUUGUAGAAGAAAAUCAUACCUAGAUUCAUGUUCUAUUUUUUGGUGAAGGAUUUUGAUACUACCUGUUUGUUCCAGGCACCCAUUUUAUACUGUUCAAUUUUUGUAUAUUUUACCAUGAAUUUUCUACUAAAUAUACUCAUUUUGAUAAGAAGUGUAGAAUAUAUCUGUCUGGAAGUUGUGUGUAAUAUAAUAGUACUGCAAUGUUUAAUGCAAGUUUAAAGGUAUACUAGGCCCAAAUUUCAUAUUUGAAAAUGUGAACAAUUGCUGCAUAUAGUUUAUGUAAACAUAAAGUCAGCAAGUUUAUAUGAAUUAGUAGUACUAUGUGUUAAAAAUUUAAAAUAGUGCACACUUAAAACAUAAUUAAAUGCAAUAUAAAUUUGUAGUACCACUAAAAACUGGAAGUUAUUUAAACAAUCAACUGUUACUGACAGCAAGACAACUAUGAAUGUAUUUCAACAUGUACAAUUAAUGUAUAUAUUCUAUUAAGUAAAUACAGUUGAUGGGGAUAGUAAAUAUAGAAAGAUAAAAUAUAUUAGUGAAGUAUGAGCGUUGGAUACCUUUAAUGUAUGACAAACUGCAAUAGUUAUAAUUCAGAUUUUUACUUUUUUUACUGCUAGUGACAGGAGAGCUUCGCUUCAAGCUACAGACCUAGUGGAACAAAGAUAGAAGGAACGGUAUCUGCAAGUGAGGUUAAAGUUGACCUGGUAGAGAAAGAAUGAACUCUGUCAGUGUGUCAAUUUAACUGUUUUUACAAAAGAUUUCAUCAUAUAUGAUAAAUCAGGAAAACUGUUGUACCUUUUUUGUAGUGUAUGUGUGAUUUGCUUACGAUUGAGGGAUAUUUUUCUUGAACAAUUUUGCCAUUAUGGCAUUUUCAUCUUGAAUAUUUUAUUGAAUUAAAUUACUGUAAAGUCGGACCAUUCAUGAGAGAUUGAUUUUUGCAUCUAAAGUGUUUGUGUGCAAGUUGAAUGGAAAACUUGAAAGAAAAUCUUGAAAACUUUAUCUUUGUGUUCGUCUGCUAUGGGAAUUGUAAAACUCUUUGUAUUCACUGUUACAAAUUUGACAAACAAAUUAUGAAAUAUCCGACAGUCCAUUGACAUAAACUGAGGGGAAAAUUAAGAACAUUUUUUAAACUUAUUUUGUUAAGUUUCAGCACUUCAAUGCAAAAGUGUAUAAGUUGGUGUUUGUUUAACAGUAUAUAAUUUAGAUUAAUACAUAUUACAAUGCUCUGAGAUAUGACAGUUCCAUAAAAACUGGAAAUACAUGCAAGCCUUAGCAAAAAGUAUUUUGUGAACUUGAAUUCAGAAGUAACUUUAUAUCAGGAAAACAUGUAUUUGUUUGAACAACCUAUAACAAGGAAACAUAUUUUAACCAAAUUAAAUUGUAAUAUUACAGGUCAUUUGAUAUGCUGGCAGAGUUCGUAUUUCUUUAUUUUUAUAUGUUUCAUACUUUGAUAUUUUUGUUUAGCUGAAUCACACAAAUAUUUAUGUUUAUUAUAGUAACUACAUAUCGUGACCUAAACGCGAAACUAGUCUAUCUGCUUCUAUUUCUAUAUACACAUAGACUAGUUUCGCGUUGAGGCCACGAUAUCUUCUUUACACAUAAUUUUAAACAGAGGAAUUUAUUUGCGUGAUUCACCAUUUCAAAUGAUGAAGUUGUUGUCAUGUUUUUUUUCUCUUGUUUUCUGUUAGAUGUUUUAUUCAGUUUUUCAAACAUGCAAAAAGACUACUGCACUGUUGCUGAUCUAAAUUUCAGCUUGUUUUGUUGGUUAUUUUGAUUCACUUUGAAAGAUUGUGAAGAAAAUGAAAAUUCUGGCACUGACAUUAAAUCGUACUUUAAAGUAGAGUAAGUGGAAACUCAUGAUCCAUGGUCAUGAUCCAUGCUGUUCGCUUUUAAAGCCUACUGCAAUUAGAGAAACUGUUAGCGAACAGCAUGGAUCCUGACCAGACUGCGCGGAUGCGCAGGCUGGUCUGGAUCCAUGCUGGUCGCAAACCCACUAUGUUGGUUUUCUCAUGGCACGGCUCAAAUAUUUCAUACAUUAUACUAACCUGCAUUUAUACUGCAAUCUCGGUACAUGUUAAUAUUCAGAGUAUAUAAUUAUAGAUAUCAUAAAAUAAAAUAUGUAAUUCAUUGGUACUACAUACAGAUAUAUUAGCACAUUAAAAAAAUAAUAACCAAGAGAGUGAUACUAGUUGAUAAGAUGUAUAUAUAAAUCACAUUAUUGCUUAUAAUAUUUUUAUAGCAUGUGAGUUGUCACAUGAAAAUAGACCAUCUUUCUGAGUUACGCAUUGGUAAAAAAAAAACAUAUUUUAAAUUAUUAAAUAUUAGAUUUUAGUUUUCAUAUUGUUUCAGACUGCAGUAUCAUACUCAUUAAAACAAAAGCUAGGCAGAUAUAUUGGCUUGUAUUUCCCUACAGGAGAAACAUUAUGUUUUAAGGAUCUUAAUAACAUGAAAUGAAAAAUAUAUUCGGAGAUGGCAUUUUUAAAUGUGGCAAAUCAUAGCUUCAUUAAAUAUAUUUUGCCUGCAUGCAGCACCAUUGUAAAAUACAGAAUGAUUAUUUCAAGGUUUAUUUUCUUUGUAUGCCAGGACAAGGACUUUUUAUAAACAGAAUAAUAUAAAAAGAUAAUCUUCAACAAUGUUUGACUCCAGUAAAGAGAAAAUGUAUAUGUAUUAAUUGUUUACAUUUUGUACAAUGGUGAUGUUUUACAUUUUUGUUUUGUUUUAAAAGUGUAACAGCUUUUAGUGGAUUCUAGUCUGUAUAUAAAUAACAUGUUAAAAGCUUUGUUUCACAAACAGCAAUAAAAAGUGCAUUAACCAUAAAAAAAAAUUUUAUGCUAAUUCUGAGUGAUUUUGAUUGCGGUUUUACCUGCUUGUUUGAAAUAUUUGUUGGAAGGAAGCCAUUUUCACUUU